UUCUAUGGCAACACUAUCAAUGCCUAAACAGAGCCUGUGGUGGUCAGGUGGUACAGCGGUCACGUGGUACAAGUCGUAGCUCUC